GACGAACGCUGGCGGCGUGCUUAACACAUGCAAGUCGAACGAAGUCGCGAACGGGUGAGUAACGCGUAAUCCACCUGCCCUUCAGAGGGGGACAACAGUUGGAAACGACUGCUAAUACCGCAUACUGAAGGAGGGGAUUGCGUCUGAUUAGCUAGUUGGAGGGGUAACGGCCCACCAAGGCGAUGCUCAGUCGCCGGUCUGAGAGGGUGGACGGACCACAUGGGAAUGAGACAAGGCCCAGGAUCCUACCGGAGGGAGCCGUGGGGAAUCUUCCGCAAUGGACGGAAGUCUGACGGAGAAAAGCCGGGGGAGAGAUGACGGCCUUCGGGGUGGAAAGCUCUGUUAAUCGGGACGCGGUACCGGAAUAGAAAGCCACGGCUAACUACGUGCCAGCAGCCGCGGUAAUUC
rnacentral:rRNA from 1 species